rnacentral:lncRNA from 1 species
CUUUUUAAACCCAUUUUCCAAUUUUGUACGUAUCUCCUUUUCGCAAACACAUUCUAAACUCAUUUCACACAAAUUAGUGGAAGAACUUGAAGAAUUUCUACCCCAUAAUAACCACUUACCCAUCUCACGAUCGACACCCACACCCUGUCGGAGUACAUUUCAAGUUCAAUAUCCGAUUAUUCGUAUUUGGCUCCAACUUUAAAUCGAGGUAAAUAUCAUUCUUAUUUUUUUAGAUUUAAACGUUUUGAAUAAUUUGUGCUUUAUUUGUAUUAUGGUUGGUUGCAAUUUGAAGUUCAGGGGAAAAAAUUUAUAUGUAGGGUUUCAAUUUAAUAAGUGACCAUAUUAAAAAAAAAAAGAGAGAGAGAGAGAUUUUCAAGCAAUUUUCAUGUAAUGUUCGUUAGAAUUUUUUAGUUUGUUUGAUUUUUUGGUUUAAAAAAAAAAGUCUAGAUUUGUCUCUUUUUUUUCCAUUAUCAUUUGAUGUUACUAUUUUUUGAAUUAGAUUUGUAAUUACGAUUACUUUUUAUUAUUAUUAUUAUUAUUAUUAUUAUUAUUUUAUUUUAUUUUAUUUUAUUUUAUUUUUUUGCUAAUGAAAAAGAGAAAAUAGAUGAAAAAUGUAGUGCACUCUUGUUCAAUGAAUUAAAUUUAUGUUGCACUUGGAAGCAAGAAUGUAAGAAAUUUUAGUACACUCUUGUUUAGUGUUAGUUGUAUGAUUUUGAAGUUUCAUAGAGAAUUUCUUUCCAAAUAUGUUAUUGUUUUUGGAGUUAUCUUUAAACUAAAUUCUUGUUGUAUUGUGUUAUAAAUGUAAUUUUGAGUUUGCAUGAAGUUAGUCUCAUUAUUUAAUUUCUGAAUCAACUUAGUUAUAUUUAUGUGUAAGCUUGUUCAUUUAUUUAUUCAUUUUGAUAUUUUUAUCGGAUCGUUGAUUUAGUUUUGAAUGAAUAAGGAGUUAUGUUUGCUCUGUGAUUAUGUUUUCUCAAAGACUUGAUUAUUCAAAUUAUAAGUACAAUAUUUAAAUGCAUGUGUUGGGAUCAUUUUUUAUCUUUUACUGCCAAUGAGUCGAAUCGGUUUAUGGUCAAUUCAUGUGUCAUUCGGAUGAAAUUUUUGAGUUUAAUUUAAAUGUGGGCUCAAUUUAUAAGUUGAUAUGUUUUUUAAUUUGAUAUAAUGUGGUUCAAUUUGAGGAUUCAAACAUCUGAUUCAUGUUAGCAUAUGAAGAACUUACGUGUAGUUUUUAUGGAAUCCAUCUGUCGAGAUAAACUGUCAUUCUUGACAGUUAUGAUUUGAAAUCCCCGACAGCUGGUUAUUGUUUCUCGAAAAGUUAUGAUACAAUGACAAACUUGUUUCAUUUGCUGUUCUACGUGUGUUACAAUGUAAAUGUAAUACAUAUUAUCAUUUGAUCUUUGGUAAUUGUUCAUGUUAUUGAUUUUUGAAUAGAUUGACAAACUGUGAUGUCAUUAGAGGAGUGCCUAAAGGACACCAUCUUCUAGUAAAGGAGCUGUCUCAGAGUAUCCUUAAGUGCUACCGAUCUAAUUGAAAAUGAAAAAGCAGUGGUGAAGAAGAAGCGACGCUCGAUGUAAAUUUGAAUAUCGUCUGCUUCAAACCGAACUCCAUAAACUAUGAGUGGUAAAAAGAAGAAAAACAUGAAAUAAUCGAAACUUGUUGAAUGGAAGAACAUUGUCGUCCCUUUUUAAAAGGAUAAGAAUAGUGGAACUUUGUAUGUUAUUAAGCUCAAAUAUCUAAUAUUUUUAUUUUGAAGAUGGAAA